rnacentral:rRNA from 1 species
AUUGAACGCUGGCGGCAUGCUUUACACAUGCAAGUCGAACGGUAACAGGCCGCAUGGUGCUGACGAGUGGCAAACGGGUGAGUAAUGCAUCGGAACGUGCCCAGUCGUGGGGGAUAACGCAGCGAAAGCUGCGCUAAUACCGCAUACGAUCUAUGGAUGAAAGCGGGGGACCGUAAGGCCUCGCGCGAUUGGAGCGGCCGAUGUCAGAUUAGGUAGUUGGUGGGGUAAAGGCUCACCAAGCCAUCGAUCUGUAGCUGGUCCGGGAGGACGACCAGCCACACACGGACUGAGACACGGCCCAGACUCCUACGGGAGGCAGCAGUGGGGAAUUUUGGACAAUGGGGGUAACCCUGAUCCAGCCAUUCCACGUGAGUGAAGAAGGCCUUCGGGUUGUAAAGCUCUUUCGGCAGGAACGAAACGGCGAGCUCUAACAUAGCUUGCUAAUGACGGUACCUGAAGAAGAAGCACCGGCUAACUACGUGCCAGCAGCCGCGGUAACAC